UUCGGGUUGUAAACCUCUUUUAGCAAGGAAGAAGCGAAAGUGACGGUACUUGCAGAAAAAGCACCGGCUAACUACGUGCCAGCAGCCGCGGUAAUACGUAGGGUGCAAGCGUUAUCCGGAAUUAUUGGGCGUAAAGAGCUCGUAGGCGGUUUGUCGCGUCUGCUGUGAAAUCCCGAGGCUCAACCUCGGGCCUGCAGUGGGUACGGGCAGACUAGAGUGCGGUAGGGGAGAUUGGAAUUCCUGGUGUAGCGGUGGAAUGCGCAGAUAUCAGGAGGAACACCGAUGGCGAAGGCAGAUCUCUGGGCCGUAACUGACGCUGAGGAGCGAAAGGGUGGGGAGCAAACAGGAUUAGAUACCCUGGUAGUCCAAGGGCGAAU
rnacentral:rRNA from 1 species